UCUAAACAUCAAAAACAAAUUGAAAUAGCCUAAAAUUGUAAACACUGCAUCAUCUUGUAGACCGUAGUAUUAAUUAAAAUGUAUAACUGAGGUAACAAACAACUUUAUUCUGACUUCUGUGGUUUUUGUUGCUGGUCAGUGGCUAUUUUUCAAACGCCCCCUGAACGCAACGCAGCAGCACUGGGCAGCAGGUGUAGGUUGUUACAUGAUGAAGUCAGAGGGGGUAUAAAAAGUGGGGCAGUAACUUCCGUUGUCUUCAUUUCUCUCUCAACCAGAAAAGCAAAUCAUCUCCCUGCAGAUACAACAACCGUCAAGAUGAACAACCUGCGCGUCGUUUUCUUCGCAGUUCUCCUGCUGGCUUUCCAUGUCUCAGUCCAGGUGGUCCACGCGCAGACAAGUACACUCCGUCCUCCUACUGCUACUACCAACAAAACCACCCCCCACAGCGGCUGCUGCGGGACCACCGCCUCCCUCAUGCUGCUGCUGCUGCCGCUGGCUUCUGCAGCGUCUCUGCUCAACGGAUGGCUGCAUUAACCGGACAGUUGGUGUCCCCCAAAGCUGGAUUGUGGGAGAAAUGUUACCCUAUCACGUCUUGGAAAUCCGUUUUCAUCAAGUAUUUUGGACUUAAAAAAUUCUGUUCUGAGAUUGAUGAGGCGCUCUUCAAUACGCCGCGUUCUUACUCGCCUAGUUUUUGCACGUGCUCGUCUCGGACUCCAAGGACUGAAUUUUCAAAUCAUAUUAACGUAAUUAUCUGUUGGAAAUGCGACGAUUGGCUACUGUGAAGUUGAAUGAUUGGAUAUGUAUUUGGAGAAUGUUUGUACUUGCGAUGGGACCUUUUUUAGAAUAUAGGAAGGAAAAUAAAGGCUUGGUGAC